rnacentral:rRNA from 1 species
GAUGAACGCUAGCUACAGGCUUAACACAUGCAAGUCGAGGGGUAACAAGGGGAAAGCUUGCUUUCCUUGUUGACGACCGGCGCACGGGUGAGUAACGCGUAUCCAACCUGCCUAUAACUAGGGAAUAACCUUGCGAAAGUAAGACUAAUACCCUAUGAUUUCCUUUGAUGACAUCAGAUUAGGAAUAAAGAUUUAUCGGUUAUAGAUGGGGAUGCGUCUGAUUAGCUUGUUGGCGGGGUAACGGCCCACCAAGGCAACGAUCAGUAGGGGUUCGGAGAGGAAGGUCCCCCACAUUGGAACUGGGACACGGUCCAAACUCCUACGGGAGGCAGCAGUGAGGAUUAUUGGUCAAUGGGCGGAAGCCUGAACCAGCCAAGUAGCGUGCAGGAUGGCGGCCCUAUGGGUUGUAAACUGCUUUUAUACAGGAAUAAAGUUAGCCACGUGUGGUUAUUUGUAGGUACCGUAUGAAUAAGGACCGGCUAAUUCCGUGCCAGCAGCCGCAGUAA